GGGGACAAACCAGUGCCUCAUGUUUCUGGAAACGCUGCAGCAUUUAACUUCAAUUUUAAUCUGGAUAACGCCAAAGCUUUUCCUCAAAUUCACCCCUGGAGUCAGCUCAUAGAUGCUCUGAUUUUGUCUACCAUUGCUCCUCCUUAAUAUCUCUCGCACAGGUGCCAUUGACCUUUAGAUGGGCUGUACGGUGUGGGGUUCGGUGCCAUGGAUCUGCUUCUCCAGGGACCAGGAUCUUGAGAUCUUCAGGCUGGGUUUCCAUGGAGGCAUGGAGCUGCUUUUCCUCCUUCAUAACUGCACUCAAAACAGCCCUGUUGCUCUAGAAUGGAGACUUGGGCAACUCCUUCUGGCACAGAUUUGUUCACCUCAGGUGAAAUUCAGAUAGAAGCAAGCUGCAGGCAGUUUCACCUCUAAGUCCAUGGGUUCUCAACUGGUAACGUCCUCUUAUGGAUGUUAGCCCAUGAGGUCAAUCCUGUAGCAAUCUAAGGCUUGAGAAAAAUUAAUCUUCUGGAAAAUUCCAAGAAUACAUCUUAGGGAAACUGGCUCUACCUUUAUGACUUGGAUCACACAAGGAUAUGCUUUUCAUCUUGGACUAGAACUGAGAGCCAAUGGAUGUGUUAUCUAAAACUAUCCCAGUGUGUUCACUAUACAGAGGAAGAUUCUGAGAUUCAAGACUCAAGACUGAAGAAGAUCAUUAUUUUUAUUAUUUUAGUCUUAUGCACAAAAUGAUAUCUACUGAAUAAGCAGGUUUUUAAUAGGUGACUUAUAUAUGUUAGCAAAAAUAAACACUUUGUCUUUUAGAUCUAUUCUAGUUUUUCAGUAGCUGUAGACUUAAGUGCUAACUUUUAGCCCAUAGGAUAAGAAGAAACCAAGUCCUAAAAGUAGGCCAGCACCAGGGUUCAGGCCUCUGACUUCAAGCCAAGGGCUCAUCAUCUUGAAUUGCGCACGAAUUUUUACACAGCGCCAAAGGAAACUGCCUGUACUUACUGUUGUAGGUGCUUUGCUGGAUUCAGGAUGCAGACAAGGUCCACGCAUUGUGGUUGGUUCCCUUAGGUGGAGCUAUACCUACUCAAGCUGUAACCAAACUCACCCUGAAUGGAAAGAUGACCAAGCACUUCCUAAGCUCCAUGUACUGCACGCGUGGCCUGCUCACUCCAUGAAGCGGGCCGCCAGGUCAAGGCCCUUGGAGCAGACCUCUGAGGAGAAGGGCUGCACCAUAGUUGAAGAUGGUCGGGGGCCAAGCUGCUCCCCUGUGCACCGGCUUUCUGGGAGCAAAUGUAUGCUGGAAAUCCAAGCCUUUCUCUUGGCAGUGAUUGAAGGAAAUCACUGGAAAUACAGUGGUAUCCCUGGACACCGAACAAGCGUGACUUAUGGUAUGCAAUCUCAAAGCAACUUUUAUUGUCAGAGUGCUGAUUUUUAUUUUUUCCUGGUCCUGGAUAAAAACUCAGCAGUCCUUAAGUUUUAUUGAAAAGAAAAUUUAGAAAUUAGAAAUUAGAAAAAUAUAGAA
rnacentral:lncRNA from 1 species